rnacentral:rRNA from 1 species
CCUACGGGAGGCAGCAGUGGGGAAUUUUGGACAAUGGGCGCAAGCCUGAUCCAGCAAUGCCGCGUGCAGGAUGAAGGCCUUCGGGUUGUAAACUGCUUUUGUACGGAGCGAAAAGGUUCUCUCUAAUACAGGGGGCUCAUGACGGUACCGUAAGAAUAAGCACCGGCUAACUACGUGCCAGCAGCCGCGGUAAUACGUAGGGUGCAAGCGUUAAUCGGAAUUACUGGGCGUAAAGCGUGCGCAGGCGGUCUUGUAAGACAGAUGUGAAAUCCCCGGGCUCAACCUGGGACCUGCAUUUGUGACUGCAAGGCUGGAGUACGGCAGAGGGGGAUGGAAUUCCGCGUGUAGCAGUGAAAUGCGUAGAUAUGCGGAGGAACACCGAUGGCGAAGGCAAUCCCCUGGGCCUGUACUGACGCUCAUGCACGAAAGCGUGGGGAGCAAACAGGAUUAGAUACCCUGGUAGUCCACGCCCUAAACGAUGUCAACUGGUUGUUGGGUCUUAACUGACUCAGUAACGAAGCUAACGCGUGAAGUUGACCGCCUGGGGAGUACGGCCGCAAGGUUGAAACUCAAAUGAAUUGACGG